rnacentral:rRNA from 1 species
CAGUCGCCACGGGAAUACGAAGGGUGCAAGCGUUACUCGGAAUUACUGGGCGUAAAGCGUGCGUAGGUGGUGGUUUAAGUCCGUUGUGAAAGCCCUGGGCUCAACCUGGGAAUUGCAGUGGAUACUGGGUCACUAGAGUGUGGUAGAGGAUAGUGGAAUUUCCGGUGUAGCAGUGAAAUGCGUAGAGAUCGGAAGGAACAUCUGUGGCGAAGGCGACUAUCUGGGCCAACACUGACACUGAGGCACGAAAGCGUGGGGAGCAAACAGGAUUAGAUACCCCUGUAGUCCCUGUCUCUUAUAA